AUGGCAUUAGUGGCAGGCAGCAGGUUUGGUAACACACGCACAGGUAAAGCGCGAGCGGAGAGAUGGGGGUUGGUUUUGAUUUGGAGACAGGGAUGAGACAGAGCAUGGGAUGGGGCCAUCAACAAAGUGGAGGGACUAGCUUGCGAGGCAGAAAGAAGGUGCCAGUGCCGGUGCCUCCCCGGUGAAACGAUGAUGGGAGUGUUGUUGCUCCCUCCCCUGCACUGCCUCUUCCCUGGCUCCGAUCCCCCACCGUUGCCCAUCCAUCAUCUCCCUCUCGCUCUCGUUUAUGCUCUUGCCUGCAUUCUUUUUCACAGUAGGCAUGCAGUACUACUUUUGGUUCUCUUUGCAAUAUAUAUACUGCAGGUUUGCUAAUCGCUAAGAGCCUAAGAAUCUUCCGCCUGGAGUGGACUGUACUUUCAGGAAAAAUCGUUCUAAAAUAUCCGGUCUGCAUCUUCGGGGAGGACGAUUGGGCGCGACGAUGCCUCGGUACCCCAAGAAACAGGAUCCCAUCGAUCGGUGCUCAAGCUCGCCAGCAACCAAA
rnacentral:precursor_RNA from 1 species